UACGGAGGGUGCGAGCGUUGUCCGGAAUUACUGGGCGUAAAGGGCGCGUAGGCGGCACUGUUAGUCAGGCGUGAAAGUCCUGGGCUCAACCUGGGAACUGCGCUUGAUACGGCAGAGCUAGAGGAUGGAAGAGGCUCGCGGAAUUCCCAGUGUAGAGGUGAAAUUCGUAGAUAUUGGGAAGAACACCGGUGGCGAAGGCGGCGAGCUGGUCCAUUACUGACGCUGAGGCGCGACAGCGUGGGGAGCAAACAGG
rnacentral:rRNA from 1 species